rnacentral:rRNA from 1 species
GACGAACGCUGGCGGCGUGCUUAACACAUGCAAGUCGAACGAAGUGGCGAACGGGUGAGUAACGCGUAAUCAACCUGCCCUUCAGAGGGGGACAACAGUUGGAAACGACUGCUUAUACCGCAUACUGAAGGAGGGGAUUGCGUCUGAUUCGUUAGUUGGAGGGGUAACGGCCCACCAAGGCGAUGAUCAGUAGCCGGGCUGAGAGGAUGGACGGCGUCAGUGGGACUGGGACACGGCCCAGACUCCUACGGGAGGCAGCAGUGGGGGAACUGGCGCAAUGGGCGAAAGUCUGGCGGAGCAACGCCGCGGGAGUGAUGACGGGCUUCGGGUUGUAAAGCUCUUGUAAUCGGGACGCGGUACCGGAAUAGAAAGCCACGGCUAACUACGUGCCAGCAGCCGCGGUAAUUC